AGAUUUUUUUUGUGUUACAUAACUGAACUCAAAAACAAAAAAACUUAAAUCUUUAGAGCCUACAAGUCCACUCAGUCCUACUUCUUGUUCAGCCAAAUCGGUAAUACAAACAAGUUUGGUUACAUUUAUGGGAGGUACUGCUGACUCUCUUUCUUAUUUACACUGUCACCUGAAAGUGAACAGAUUUUUGCAUGGCACUUUUGUAGCUGUUGUUGCAAGGUAUUUAUGUGCCAGAUAUAAGAAUUUUAUUAAAGAUAA